rnacentral:rRNA from 1 species
GACGAACGCUGGCGGCGUGCUUAACACAUGCAAGUCGAACGGAAAGGCCCUGCUUUUGUGGGGUGCUCGAGUGGCGAACGGGUGAGUAACACGUGAGUAACCUGCCCUUGACUUUGGGAUAACUUCCGGAAACUGGGGCUAAUACCGGCUAGGAGCUCCUGCUGCAUGGUGGGGGUUGGAAAGUUUCGGCGGUUGGGGAUGGACUCGCGGCUUAUCAGCUUGUUGGUGGGGUAGUGGCUUACGAAGGCUUUGACGGGUAGCCGGCCUGAGAGGGUGACCGGCCACAUUGGGACUGAAAUACGGCCCAGACUCCUACGGGAGGCAGCAGUGGGGAAUAUUGCACAAUAGGCGGAAGCCUGAUGCAGCAACGCCGCGUGCGGGAUGACGGCCUUCGGGUUGUAAACCGCUUUCGCCUGUGACGAAGCGUGAGUGACGGUAAUGAGUAAAGAAGCACCGGCUAACUACGUG